rnacentral:tRNA from 1 species
UCUAUUUAUAUAGUUUAAAAAAAACCUUUCAUUUUCAUUGGAAAAAUAUAAUUAUAUUAUA